AGUAGCGGGCCGUCGGUUGGGCGCAGACAGGCCGCAGAAGAUGGAGAGAUGGAGCCACCCCAAGAGACAAAUAGGCCUUUCAGCACACUUGAUAACCGCAGCGGGCAGGUCCAAGUCCUGUCCGCCACCCCGCUAUUGCAGAGGAAUCCCUACAGCAGCCCGGAUAUCAUGCACAUUAAAGGGUCGGAGGCUUCUUCGGUCCCUUACGCCCUGAACCAGGGCACGACGGCCCUGCCUAAGAACAAGAACCAGGAGGGCACCGGGCACCGGCUGCUGAACAUGCUGAGAAAAACUCUUAAAGAGUCUGAUAGUGAAGAACUGGAAAUAACACAGGAGACGCCAAAUUUGGUGCCAUUUGGGGAUGUGGUUGGCUGCCUGGGCAUUCAUAUAAAGAACUGCAGACAUUUUAUGCCUAAGAUCAGUUUACAACAUUAUGCUAAUUUAUUCAUUCGCAUCUCUAUAAACAAAGCUGUGAAAUGUACAAAAAUGUGUAGCUUGCUAUCCAAAAACGAUGAGAAGAACACUGUAAUUAAGUUCGAUGAAGUGAAGUAUUUUUCUGUACAGGUUCCCAGACGUUAUGAUGAUAAGCGGAAUAAUAUUUUAUUGGAACUCAUACAAUAUGACAAUAGAGAAAAACGUGCUUUCUUGUUAGGGAGUGUUCAGAUACAUCUUUAUGAGGUAAUUCAGAAAGGGUGCUUCAUUGAAGAGGUCCAAGUGUUGCAUGGAAACAUAUUUGUCUGCAGGCUGGAGGUGGAAUUUAUGUUCUCCUAUGGAAACUUUGGUUAUGGAUUUUCACAUCAGUUAAAACCUCUUCAGAAAAUUACUGAGCCAUCCAUGUUUAUGAAUCUUGCACCACCUCCAGAAAGAACAGAUCCCGUGACAAAAGUUAUUACACCACAGACAGUAGAAUAUCCAGCAUUCUUAUCCCCAGACCUGAAUGUUACUGUUGGGACUCCAGCUGUGCAAUCCUCCAACCAGCCAUCUGUAGUGCGACUUGAAAAACUUCAGCAACAACCCCGGGAAAGGCUGGAAAAGAUGAAAAAAGAAUAUAGAAAUCUGAAUACAUGGAUAGAUAAAGCUAACUAUUUAGAAAGCAUUCUAAUGCCAAAAUUGGAACAUAAGGAUUCUGAGGAAACUAAUAUAGAUGAGGCAUCUGAAAACACGAAAAGUAAUCAUCCUGAAGAGGAGCUUGAAAAUAUUGUAGGAGUAGCAGAUAUCCCUCUUGUAAAUGAGGAAGCUGAAACUACUGCAAAUGAGUUACUGGAUAAUGAUUCUGAGAAAGGCCUGACUAUACCAACUUUGAACCAAUCGGACCAAGAUAAUUCAACUGCUGAUGCUUCUAAAAAUGAUGAAUCAACACCUUCACCCACAGAAGUGCACUCAUUGUGCACUAUUUCUAACCAGGAAACAAUAAAAGCAGGCAGAAUACCACCUUUAGGUGAACGUCAAUCAGAAAGCAUGCCAGACAGAAAAAUGAAAAAUGUAUUUUUUCCAUUAGAAGUAAAAUUAAAAGAUAACUAUCCAAGCAUUUUAAAAGCAGACUCAUCUCUAUCAGAGGUGGCUUUUUCACCAAAAGAAUAUAAUUCACCAUCUUUCAGACCAGAAUAUAUAGAAUUCAAACCAAAAUUUCAGUUUCAGAAAUUCAACAAGAACGGUUUUGAUCCUUUUCUAAGGAAUAUAAACAAAAUGUCAGUCAGAAAAAGAAAAGAUCAAGAUAUAUACAAAUAUAGAAAUAUCUUAGGUGCAGAGGUCAUAGAGCAUGAAGACCAGGAUCCUCCUUAUCCAGCACAAUCAAAAACUGCAGGACCUGCUAAUACAACCUGGGCCCAUGACCCUAAUAUCUUCACAACAAAGAUGUUAGAAACUGAGAAUAAGUUAGCCCCUGAUCCUACUAUCAAUACAAUAAAGGGUUUAGAUACAAAGAAUAGUUUAAAAGAAAAUCUACCAAAUGUAUCUUUACCAAGCAUCAAAGGAGAAUCAUCAAGGGCUGGAAAUGUACAGGCAAACACAUGUCACCUCUCGAAGUCUUUAAAUUUUACCCCCCAUAUAGAAUAUUUAAAACAAUCAAUGAUACUCAAGUCAAUUUUAAGUGAAAAUCUGCAAGACCUUUCAGACAAAUUAUUUUCUAAACCAGAAGUUAGUAUGAACAGUGAAGCAAGAGAGAAAAGUAGUUCUCCACUUCUAAGCAUUCAUGAUAAAUCAUCAAGUAGUAUGGAAGACAACGUAUUGGAAAAAAAACAAGAUUUAAACAACUGGCUUUCAGAAAAAGACAUUUUAAAUUCAAAGACUACUUUAAGUCAAAUAAUUAAAAAUAUUCCUGCAGAUUCAUUUUCAGAAGGUAGUCAAAUAAUUGAAAAUAUUCCUGCAGAUUCACUUUUAGAAGGUGGUCAAGUAAUUAAAAAUAUUCCUGAAUAUUCACUUUCAGAAGGGGGUCAGAUAAUUAAAAAUAUUCCUGCAGAUUCAUUUUUAGAAAGUGGACCAGGACAAUCUCCAGAGGUAGAAGAACAUGUCUCUAAAAAACACUUCGAAGCUGAUGAGAGAGAUUUUCCAAUUAAAAAAAAUAGUAGUACCAAAAAGAAACAUUUAAUAAGCGAAGUACCUAACUCCAAAUCAGGUUCAAGUGGCACUGUACAUGACUACAUUAUGAGGCAAAUAUUCACUGCACCAAUAUUCUCAGAAUUGGAGAUAGAAGUGAAAGAGCCAAGUGAAACACCAAUGAACUUGGAAAAUCAAUUACCUACACCUUGGAAGAGAAGUUUGUCAUCACAUAUUCUAUUUCAUGAAGAAAAUGCUGAUGAAAUAGAAUUGCCACAGCCCAGAUCUGCUACAAGCCAGAUAAUACAAGCAUUUCCUAUAGAUACACUUUUAGAAUCUGGGAUAAUCAAAGUGAUAGAAUUAGAUAAAGAACACCAUAAGAGUUCUUUGCUGGGUACGGGGAUCACUUCUCCUAAAGGAAACCUAAAGGAUUCCCAAGAGUAUUAUUCAGAAAUCAGAAGCGAGACAGAACCUCUUUCUGAGCAGAGUAUACCCAUCAUUCCCAAAGACACUACUUCUGUUAGUAGAGCUGAAUUUAUACAGGAAGACCAAAAUAUGUUCCCACAAGAUUCAAGUUAUUAUUCAAUAGCAAAUAAAGAACUGUAUUUGCCAAGAAAUGGUCAGAGGCUUUGUAAAGACAAAAAUGAUCUCAGUUCUACUUUAGAAAGUUUAACUAACUCAUUAAUGGAUAAACUUAGUGAAUCAGAUGAAAUAAUGUUAAAAUCCUUUUUAAAAAACAUCUUCAAUGUUUUUUUCAAAUAUAAUCAUUCUGAAAGAAGAGGACAACCAGAAAAAGAAUUAGAAAGACUAAUUCAACCUUCUUUUACAAGUGACACAGAACACCUUGAAGAACUCCAAGAGGAUUUUGAUAAAGCAGACAAAUUAGACAGAAAACCUAUUUUGAGUCCAAAGUUGCGUGUGUUUCUAGAAGAACUCUCAGAGUCAGAAGUAAAACAUUUAAAAUCUGAAUUAAGUAAACAAAUCCAGCAUUACCUUGUAGAAAGACUUUCAGAAUCAGGACAUAUCACCAAGGAGGACUUACCAAAAAUCUAUCAAAAUCUGUAUCUGAUGAAUGAGAAAGCAGAGCAGAAAGGGCCAAACAGUUUUCAGGGGAAAUAUUCUGAAACUGUGAAAGAAAUCAUGUCUUUUGUCAACAAUUUCAAUCAUCAUUUCAUAGAUAAACAUUUGGAAAUAAAGCUGAGAUCUUUUUUAAAAGAGAUUCUCCAAAACUAUUUCCUAAAAAACAUUUCAGAAAGCAGUUUAUUUAAUGAGACAGCAUCUGAGACUAUAUACCCAAACAUAUCUUCUCUAAGGACUAAAAGUGUCUCAAUAUCUUUUCAUGAACUAGAACAAGAUAUUUCAAAGGGGAGUUUUGGUAGAAGGUUUGAAAUAAACAUGAAAUAUCCUUUAAGUAAAUCUCUACAAAACUAUCUGAUAGCUUUAUCAGAAAAUGAAUUAUUACAUCUAAAAGCUGAUUUAAGCAAACACCUCCAGAGUCUUUUUAUAGAAAAACUUUCAAAAUCAGGACUAAUGACAAAAAAGCAAUUAGAAGGGAUCAACCAGCAUAUAAAUUUGCUUAAUUCUAGUUCUAUACCAUUAAAAUAUAUAAAAACACAUUUACCUUUUAGAGAUGACUGUCACUUUGUGGAGAAGCAUUCAGAAAAGCAAAAUAAAUAUUCAAGAAUUGUUCAACAAACCACUUUACAAACGGUUUCUGAGGAUAAACUUAGAGAAGCAGAAUUGAUUCGAGAGAAAGAAAAGAAAUAUUUUCCCUUACAGAAUUUAAAGGGAAAUUCAUCUUUAAUUAAGGAACAGAAAAGUUAUUACACUAAGGAAGAAGCUAAAACACCAAGUUUAAUCAAAGUACAACCUUCUUCCAAUGAAAAUAUCCAGGCAAGUCCAUUAAGUAAGUCAUCAGAAAUACUUACAGAUAUACUGCUUAAGAAACUAAGGAAAGAACAUGUAUUCACGCAGCUUCCUCAAGCAGAAAAUUCUGUUCAUAAAACAGAGAUUCAAGACCCAUAUAGUUGGGGUGGUAAAUCAAAAAUAACUCAAUCAAAAGCUUGGUGUGAAAAGACACUGAAAAUGAAGUCCCUUGAUAGAAAGGAGCAUGUAAACAUCUAUAAAUGGACUGUUCAGGAAAAACCUGAAGCAGUAUUAACAUCGUAUCCAAGAAUUCCUAAUGCCAGAAUGCCAAGGGAAGAUGAGUACUUAAACAGAAUCACUUUCCCUUCCUGGCAAAGUAGCACUUUAACUCAUUUCAAUACAGAGACUGGGGAAAAAUCAAAAUUAGAAGACCAGUAUUGUCAGACAUUGAAAGGAAAUAAUAACAAUAAUAAAAAGCAUUUAGUAACAUUUGCACAAUACAAAAAAGAAAUACAAACUCUUUAUAUAAAACCAGAUGAAAUUUGCAGUGAAAAAUGUGCCAAGUUCCCUGAAAUACAGUCAUUCCAAUAUAAGGUUGUAGAAGAUGAGAAAAACUUGAAACCACACCUCUUCCCAGAAUUAUUUAAGAUAGAAGAUCUAAAACCCAAGGUCCGAAAAGAAAGAGACCGUGUCGCCCAACCAAAAAAGUCAUUUAACAAGAUAGUCAGGAUACUACCAACCACACUGCCCACCACAAGAAUUCACCUAAAGAAGUCUGUUCCAAGGACACUGCUUCACUGGACUGCAAGAAGAACUAUACAUGAAUCUCCCAAAGGAAUCAAGACAGAAGAGAGAAAUUGAGUCGUAGGAGCACCUAGAAAAGUGACCAGUGGCCUGGGUCUCCAUGCCCUUCCACUGCCACUCCAGUAAUCAAGUUAUAUCAGCUGUGAAGGAAAAUUAUGUGUUACUCACUAACAUAGCAUAAAUUAUCUCAUUGUGGCUUCCCUAAUUGUCUUGUGAUUGUUCAGAUAAAUUUGAGGAUUUACAUGACAUGACCUCAUUUACACACCUUAAAAAAGUAAAAUCAAGAUCAAGGCUUUUAGGAAAAAGCUCAGAUGAUAUCCAUAACCAUGCCAGACACUCUGCAAGACCAUAUACUGCUCCGGAGGUUAACAAGCAACGAGAAAGCUACAGUGGAAAGUUUACAAGUCGUCGAAUGGUUUCAUCAGGCUUAGUUCAUAUAAAUGAUAAAACAUCAGAUUAUGAAAUGCAUAAAAUGCGGCCAAAAAAAAUUAAAAGAGGAUAUUGAAAAAUGUUCGCUCAUUUGUGAUAUUAUAAAACAUGUUUAACUCAGAAUGAUAUGUGAGGCCAGCAGUCAGAAUAUCACUUCUCCAUUAACAAAAUGGUUUGGAGAUCUCUUCUUUUGUGUGACAGAAGUCAGCAACCAAAUUUCAUCUUGUUAGAACCAUUUUGUUUUGAUUAAAAUGAAAAACAAACACA